UACAGAGGAGCCAAGCGUUGUCCGGAUUGACUGGGCGUAAAGCGCACGCAGGCGGAUGCGCGCGUGGGGUGUGAAAUCUGGCCGCUUAACGGCCAGGCGCCAUCCCAUACGGCGCGUCUGGAGUGAUGCAGAGGUCGAUGGAAUUGCCGGUGUAGUGGUGAAAUGCGUAGAGAUCGGCAGGAACACCCAGGGGGAAACCAGUCGACUGGGCAUCUACUGACGCUGAGGUGCGAGAGCGUGGGGAGCAAACAGG
rnacentral:rRNA from 1 species